GAGUAUCAUUCUAUCUGAAGGGACAUGAAAUUGCAAUAAAGGCAGCACCGAUACUUACUGUAACAGGCAUACUGGUCUAUAUCGGUUCCUUUUCAGUAGGAAUGGGAGCAGUUCCGUGGGUAGUAAUGUCGGAGGUA